rnacentral:rRNA from 1 species
AUUGAACGCUGGCGGCAGGCCUAACACAUGCAAGUCGAGCGGGUGAAGGGAGCUUGCUCCUGGAUUCAGCGGCGGACGGGUGAGUAAUGCCUAGGAAUCUGCCUGGUAGUGGGGGAUAACGUCCGGAAACGGGCGCUAAUACCGCAUACGUCCUGAGGGAGAAAGUGGGGGAUCUUCGGACCUCACGCUAUCAGAUGAGCCUAGGUCGGAUUAGCUAGUUGGUGGGGUAAAGGCCUACCAAGGCGACGAUCCGUAACUGGUCUGAGAGGAUGAUCAGUCACACUGGAACUGAGACACGGUCCAGACUCCUACGGGAGGCAGCAGUGGGGAAUAUUGGACAAUGGGCGAAAGCCUGAUCCAGCCAUGCCGCGUGUGUGAAGAAGGUCUUCGGAUUGUAAAGCACUUUAAGUUGGGAGGAAGGGCAGUAAGUUAAUACCUUGCUGUCUUGACGUUACCAACAGAAUAAGCACCGGCUAACUUCGUG